GUCCACGCCUAACGAUGUCAACUGGUUGUUGGACGGCUUGCUAUUCAGUAACGAAGCUAACGCGUGAAGUUGACCGCCUGGGGAGUACGGCCGCAAGGUUGAAACUCAAAGGAAUUGACGGGACCCGCACAAGCGGUGGAUGAUGUGGUUUAAUUCGAUGCAACGCGAAACCUUACCUACCCUUGACAUGUCUGGAAUCCCGGAGAGAUUUGGGAGUGCUCGAAAGAGAACCAGAACACAGGUGCUGCAUGGCCGUCGU
rnacentral:rRNA from 1 species